rnacentral:rRNA from 1 species
AGUGGCGGACGGGUGAGUAACACGUGGGGAUCUACCUUUGGGUGAGGAAUACCGGCGAGAAAUCGCCGACAAGACCGCAUAGGUUCAGCAAUGAACAAAGUCGCAAGACGCCCGAAGAUGACCCUGCGCCCGAUUAGCUAGCUGGUGAGGUAAAGGCUUACCAGGGCGACGAUCGGUAGCUGGUCUGAGAGGACGAUCAGCCACACUGGGAUUGAGAACGGCCCAGACUCCUACGGGGGGCAGCAGUGAGGAAUUUUCGUCAAUGGGGGCAACCCUGAACGAGCAACGCCGCGUGCCGGAAGAAGGUCUUCGGAUCGUAAACGGCUUUUCGAGAGGACGAGAACGGACGGUACUUUCGGAAGAAGCCCCGGCUAACUACGUGCCAGCAGCCGCGGUAAUACGUAGGGGGCGAGCGUUGUCCGGAGUUACUGGGCGUAAAGGGCGCGCAGGCGGUCUGGUAAGUUUGGAGUGACAGUGCUCGGCUUAACUGAGCAAGGCCUUCGAAAACUGCUAGACUUGAGUACUCAAGAGGGACAUAGAAUUCCGGGUGGAGUGGUGAAAUGCGUAGAUAUCCGGAGGAAUACCAAAGGCGAA